ACACAACGAGAAGGGGCGGGGCCGAAGCCGGUUGCCAGGGUGUCGCGGAGCGGCUGGGAAGGAGGGGCUGGGAAUCUUGGAGCCCCUUGGCCCGCGGGGAAAGCGGGUGACCCGCCCUGCAAGUGGGAUGCCCCCUUCGGCCUUCUGGAGCGCAGGUGGGGGCGCGCGCCCAUCGGGGGCUCGCACUGCACGGAGGGUCGCGGUGCCGGGGAGCUGAGGUUGGAGGAUGCAGGGCGGCGGCCCUGGUGCACCGUGGGGGAGUUCGCACGCCGGGCAGCGAUCUUCUGCCGGGACCUGGCGUUCUUCACACACGGCUUAUUCGUGACGGAUCCACAGAGCAAUGCACUCUGAAGCCGGAGGGUAGAAAGUGCUGGAAUGCGCGCCCGGGCCCAGGCUGUCGCGAGCCUUCAGCAAGCCAGUGCACACAGAGAGGGCUGCCCAGAGAUCCCGGUCAGCGCUCGCAGUUCGAGGUGGAACAUGUGUGUGCCCUGCGCUAGCCCCAGCUCCCGGAGGUGCCCCCAGCGCGUGUGGAGGGGGGCGGUGAACGGACCCGCAAUCUGGUGGAGGCUGCGGGAAGGAGGCGCAGAGUCCAGGGGUCAGGGUUACCUUCGGGCAGGAGGACAGAUCCCUCUGCUCGGAGGGAGGCUGUCUCCCCGGCAAGGGUGCCCACUGCAAGCACAGGCGUGAGAAAUGGCCCAGAAAAGAGUGGUCAGGGCAAUGUGUUCUUGGCACGCCCAGCAAGACCUGCCAGAGGGACCUACAGACGAGUGUCUCCCAGCUAUCUUACCAGCGGGGACCUUGAGGUCCAAGUAUCCAGUCCGGUUAGAAAUGGCCGCGGAUCCAACAGGUGCUGGUGAGUGGGAGAAUACCCCUGAGGGAGGAAGAACAGAGGCCGGGAGGGAGCUGAGUGGAUGUAGAUGAGAAAUACCUGGACAGCUGCAAGCUGUAGUCAGUGAUGGGCAACUGGAACCAGAGAUUCCAGAGAGAGGGAGGGAGAAAGAGGGAGGAGAAGGGAGAAUGAGAAAGAGAGGGAGAGAGAAUGGGGGGGAGAAAGAGGGAGAAUGGGGGAGAGAGGUAGGAGCAAGUUCUGGACCACGCCAAGGAUGGAGCUGUGGUCCUGGAACCAGAUGUCCAGGGAAUGGGAUGAAGUGACACUGGCUGGGGCCGAGGCUGCAGACUGCUGGUGGGAGCUGGCAGGACAAUGAGGAUUCUGAACCAGGUGCCUGAGCCUUCUGUGGAUAUGGGGAGUGACUUGGAUGUCUAUAAAUUCCAGAAAUGAUAGGAGGGAUAGAUGAUGGAGGGACUGUAUUUUAGACAAUAAACAAAUUUCACUCAGUAUG
rnacentral:lncRNA from 1 species